AUGGGGCGAAGCACAGUUAAUCCUAUUUGGAGUAAGAUAUGGAAGUUAUCGUGUCCGGCAAAAGUCAAAAUUUUUAUAUGGCGUACAUUACAUGGAAUGCUUCCAUGUCGGGUUACGCUCGCAAAUAGACAUAUGAAGGUCGCCCAUUUGCCUACUUGCUCUGAGGGUUCUGAAGAUACAAAGCAUAUGCUUUUCCUUUGCAGUAGAGCAAAAGAGGUUUGGACAAGGCUGGGGAUGGAUGAUAUCAUUGAUAAAGCUUGCAAGGUUGACCUUGCUGGAGAGGCGGUGCUGGAAUACCUACUACUUCUGCCAGACCAAGAUUUGAGGAUAAUGGGUCAUCACAAUGUGCGCGAAAUGAUUGCUGUUUCAACAUGGUAUCUAUGGUGGGAAAGACGGAAGUUAGUGCACAAGGAGACAACUCAGAAUGCACUUCAGAUAUCAAUGAGGAUUCUAGCCCUUACGUCAAACUUCGUAAAUGCAUCAUCCCCCAAGGCUACUAUGAAAAAGGGGGGUUGGUCAUGUCCUCCUAGGGCUUUUGUGAAACUUAACGUUGACGCUUCUUUUGACCAUGACCUACUUAGGGGCAUGAUGGGGGCGGUUUUGAGAGAUGAAAAAGGUAGGUUUAUCGCGGGAGGAAACGGGAAGAUUGACUAUUGCGAAGAUGUGUUGAUGGCGGAAUCCUCAGCUCUUAAAUUUGGUAUAGCAAAGGGCGGGAUGUAA
rnacentral:rRNA from 1 species